rnacentral:rRNA from 1 species
UACGGGGGGGGGCAAGCGUUGUUCGGAAUUACUGGGCGUAAAGGGCUCGUAGGCGGCCAACUAAGUCGGAUGUGAAAUCCCCAGGCUUAACCUGGGAACUGCAUCCGAUACUGGAUGGCUUGAAUCCGGGAGAGGGAUGCGGAAUUCCAGGUGUAGCGGUGAAAUGCGUAGAUAUCUGGAGGAACACCGGUGGCGAAGGCGGCAUCCUGGACCGGUAUUGACGCUGAUGCGCGAAAGCCAGGGGAGCAAACGGG